UAGGGAAUCUUCCGCAAUGGGCGAAAGCCUGACGGAGCAACGCCGCGUGAGUGAUGAAGGUCUUCGGAUCGUAAAACUCUGUUAUUAGGGAAGAACAAAUGUGUAAGUAACUAUGCACGUCUUGACGGUACCUAAUCAGAAAGCCACGGCUAACUACGUGCCAGCAGCCGCGGUAAUACGUAGGUGGCAAGCGUUAUCCGGAAUUAUUGGGCGUAAAGCGCGCGUAGGCGGUUUUUUAAGUCUGAUGUGAAAGCCCACGGCUCAACCGUGGAGGGUCAUUGGAAACUGGAAAACUUGAGUGCAGAAGAGGAAAGUGGAAUUCCAUGUGUAGCGGUGAAAUGCGCAGAGAUAUGGAGGAACUCCAGUGGCGAAGGCGACUUUCUGGUCUGUAACUGACGCUGAUGUGCGAAAGCGUGGGGAUCAAACAGG
rnacentral:rRNA from 1 species